GAUGAACGCUGGCGGCGUGCCUAACACAUGCAAGUCGAACGAAGACACCUUCGUAAGUUUUCGGACUAGUAGUGGGUGAACUGUAGUGGCGGACGGGUGAGGUAACGCGUGGGUAACCGUGCCUCACACUGGGGGACAACAGUUAGAAAUGACUGCUAAUACCGCAUAAGCGCACAGUACCGCAUGGUACGGUGUGAAAAACUCCGGUGGUGUGAGAUGGACCCGCGUCUGAUUAGCUGGUUGGUGGGGUAACGGCCUACCAAGGCGACGAUCGGUAGCCGGACUGAGAGGUUGAACGGCCACAUUGGGACUGAGACACGGCCCAG
rnacentral:rRNA from 1 species